rnacentral:lncRNA from 1 species
GAAGACAUAAAAUGCUGAUUGGCCAUUUGCCAGGCAGGAAGUAUAGGCGGGGCUACCAGACUAGGAGAAAGCUGGAAAGAGGAAGUGGUCACCAGCCAGAUGCAGAGGAAACAAGAUGGGAAUGCCUUACUGAGAAAAGCCUGACAGAUCUGAAUUCUAUCACCAGAAGCCACAGUGGAAGGAGAUAGAGAAAUGUCUCCCAAAAGUUGUCCUCUGACCUUCACACAUGAACAGCGGCAUUCUCAUACCCUAUUCACAU